UACGGGGGGAGCAAACGUUGUUCGGAAUCACUGGGCGUAAAGGGCGUGUAGGCGGCUGGAUAAGUGGGAUGUUAAAUCCCCCGGCUCAACCGGGGACCUGCAUCUCAUACUGUUCAGCUCGAGCACAUCAGAGGAGACUGGAAUUCCCGGUGUAGCGGUGAAAUGCGUAGAUAUUGGGAGGAACACCAGUGGCGAAGGCGGCUCACUGGACCGGUACUGACGCUGAGGCGCGAAAGCGUGGGGAGCAAACGGG
rnacentral:rRNA from 1 species